AGUGAGCGCUGGCGGUAGGCCUAACACAUGCAAGUCGAACGGCAGCACAGUAAGAGCUUGCUCUUGCGGGUGGCGAGUGGCGGACGGGUGAGGAAUACAUCGGAAUCUACUUUUUCGUGGGGGAUAACGUAGGGAAACUUACGCUAAUACCGCAUACGACCUACGGGUGAAAGCAGGGGAUCUUCGGACCUUGCGCGAUUGAAUGAGCCGAUGUCGGAUUAGCUAGUUGGCGGGGUAAAGGCCCACCAAGGCGACGAUCCGUAGCUGGUCGGAGAGGCUGAUCGGCCACAUUGGAACGGAGACAGGGACCAGACGCCUACGAGAGGCAGCAGUGGGGAAUAUUGGACAAUGGGCGCAAGCCUGAUCCAGCCAUACCGCGUGGGUGAAGAAGGCCUUCGGGUUGUAAAGCCGUUUUUUGGGGAAAGAAAAGCAGCAGGUUAAUACCCCGCUGUUCUGACGGUACCCAAAGAAUAAGCACCGGCUAACUUCGUG
rnacentral:rRNA from 1 species